rnacentral:rRNA from 1 species
AACGUAGGACACAAGCGUUAUCCGGAGUUACUGGGCGUAAAGGGCGUUUAGGCGGGUGAUUAAGUUCGCUAUGAAAGCGCCAGGCUAAACCUGGCGAGGCUGGCGGAUGCUGGUCAUCUGGAGUGAGUCAGAGGAAGGUAGAAUUCCGCGUGUAGUGGUGAAAUGCGUAGAGAUGCGGAGGAAUACCAGUGGCGAAGGCGGCCUUCUGGGACUCAACUGACGCUG